rnacentral:rRNA from 1 species
UACGUAGGGGGCUAGCGUUGUUCGGAAUUACUGGGCGUAAAGCGCACGUAGGCGGCUUUGUAAGUUAGAGGUGAAAGCCCGGGGCUCAACUCCGGAAUUGCCUUUAAGACUGCAUCGCUAGAAUUGUGGAGAGGUAAGUGGAAUUCCGAGUGUAGAGGUGAAAUUCGUAGAUAUUCGGAAGAACACCAGUGGCGAAGGCGACUUACUGGACCCAUAUUGACGCUGAGGUGCGAAAGCGUGGGGAGCAAACAGG